rnacentral:lncRNA from 1 species
UCCUGUUCAGCAGCGGGCACUCCCUCGCCUGCUCCUGCUGUUCAGCUCCCCCAGACUCUCCUCCCUCGCCCCUGCCUUCAGAUUUGCUGAUUGACCCUCUCCCAGUACACACCCCGCUCCGCUCCGCCCUCAUAGCAUCCUUCAAAGUGGCCUUGUACCGUUUCUUGUGGGAUCCUUGGCUGACUGUCUUCUCACCUGGACCAUAAGCUCCAGAAGACCCGCAGAACGAAUGAACGGAAGAAAGAAUCCUCAAAGAGUAGAGCUGAGCGCGUCCUUGGGGAUCUCAUCUGACUCCUGUACGUUCCAGAUGAGGACACAUGCCCAGGCAGAAGCCCCUAGAAAGAGCUGGGUGGGCUGGGGUGGCGGAUUUACCAACUCACCCAUUAGUGGUCUGUCUGCCUGUGCCUGUCCUGGCCCUAAGUGAUUCCCACCGGCCCCAGUAGGACUCGGUGCCCUGGGCGUUUGGUAGACUAACCCCAAAGGGCUACCAACCACCAACCAUUGUUGUGUUUUAUGACAACAUUUAGUAGUAGUUUUUUUGUCUUUUGGGGGUCCCCCUGCAGCAUAUGGAAGCUCUCAGGCUAGGGGUCAAAUUGGAGUUGCCGCUGCCGGCCUAUAUCAUAGCUGUAGCAAUGCAGGAUCUGAGCUGCAUCCUACACCACAAAAUGCUGGAUCCUAAACCCAUCGAGUGAGGCCCGAUAUCGAAUCCGCAUCCUCAUGGAUACUAGUCAGGAUUCUUAACCCACUGAGCCACAGUGAGAACUCCUAGCAGUAUUUUUUUUAACACAGACAUUGAGAAAUGACUUACUUAUGUCUUAUUCAUUGCUCGGAUAAUUAUUGUUGACAUUUUUUAAAAGUAAUAUAUUUACACGUUUGAAAAAAAUCCAAUGGAUUUGAGGCAUUGUGGCUCAGCGGGUUAAGAAGCUGACUAGUAUCCAUGAGGAUGGGGUUCGAUCCCUGUCCUCACUCAGUGGGUUAAGGAUCUGGUGUUGUGGCAAGCUGUGCUGCAGAUUGUAGAUGCGGCUCAGAUCUGGCGUUGCUGUGGCUGUGGUGUAGGCCGGCAGCUGCAGCUCUGAUUCUACUCCUGGCCCAGGAACUCCCAUAUGCCACAGGUGCGGGCAUAGCAAGAAGAAUAAAUACAUAAAUAAAAAAUAAGAAUCAAGGGAGUUCCCACUGUGGCUCAGCAGUGAGAAACCCAACUAGUAUCCGUGAGGAUGCAGGUUCAAUCCCUGGCCUCGCUCAGUGGGUUAAGCAUCCUGCAUUGUGGCGAGCUGCCGUGUAGGUCGUAGACAUGGCUCAGAUCCUGUGUUGCUGUGGCUGUGGUGUAGGCCAGCAGCUGAGCUCCGAUUCGACCCUUAUCCUGGGAACAUCCAUAUUCUGAGGCUGCAGCCCUAAAAAAGCAAAAAAAAAAAAAAAAUUUUUUU